GAUGAACGCUGGCGGCGUGCCUAAUACAUGCAAGUCGAGCGAACAGACGAGGAGCUUGCUCCUCUGACGUUAGCGGCGGACGGGGGAGUAACACGUGGAUAACCUACCUAUAAGACUGGGAUAACUUCGGGAAACCGGAGCUAAUACCGGAUAAUAUAUUGAACCGCAUGGUUCAAUAGUGAAAGACGGUUUUGCUGGCACUUAUAGAUGGAUCUGCGCCGCAUUAGCUAGUUGGUAAGGUAACGGCUUACCAAGGCAACGAUGCGUAGCCGACCUGAGAGGGUGAUCGGCCACACUGGAACUGAGACACGGUCCAGACUCCUACGGGAGGCAGCAGUAGGGAAUCUUCCGCAAUGGGCGAAAGCCUGACGGAGCAACGCCGCGUGAGUGAUGAAGGUCUUCGGAUCGUAAAACUCUGUUAUUAGGGAAGAACAAAUGUGUAAGUAACUAUGCACGUCUUGACGGUACCUAAUCAGAAAGCCACGGCUAACUACGUG
rnacentral:rRNA from 1 species